GACGAACGCUGGCGGCGUGCCUAACACAUGCAAGUCGAGCGGGGAUUUGGGAAGCUUGCUUCCUGGAUUCUAGCGGCGGACGGGUGAGUAACGCGUGAGCAACCUGCCUUUCACAGGGGGAUAACGCAUCGAAAGAUGUGCUAAUACCGCGUAAGACCACAGCACCGCAUGGUGCAGGGGUCAAAGGAGCAAUCCGGUGAGAGAUGGGCUCGCGUCCGAUUAGCUAGUUGGUGAGAUAACAGCCCACCAAGGCGACGAUCGGUAGCCGACCUGAGAGGGUGAUCGGGCCACAUUGGAACUGAGAGACGGUCCAGACUCCUACGGGAGGCAGCAGUGGGGAAUAGUUGGGCAAUGGGGCGAAAGCCUGACCCAGCAACGCCGCGUGAGGGAAGAAGGGCUUC
rnacentral:rRNA from 1 species